rnacentral:antisense_RNA from 1 species
AAAAAUGAGCAGAGAACCCAGCCAAGUUGUGACUGGAGACUCCUGACUUAUGGACAAUAAGAGAGGAAAUGUCUUUUGAAAGCUCCACUGACUCCAAGCAGAUUUCUUCCAACAAUUUCUUGCUUCUUGUGAUGUUAGAAGAGCAAUUAUGUUCCUGUGAGCAGCUGAUGGAGGACAUUAUCAACAUGGAAGUACUUCUUUGUGAGAGAACUGUCAGCUUACGUUUAUAUUAAUAGAUAUUACCUUUGGACUAUAUCUGUGGGAAAAGAAAAGCUAUUUCAGUCCAAGCGAUUCUCCUGUGUCAGCCUCCCAACUAGCUGGGAUUACAGGUCUCCUUCUGAAGAGGGUGAAGGUCCCUACCCUGAAAUAUGGUCAAGAUCUCAUAACAACACCAAGAAAUCCAGGGAAGAUUUAUUUUCCCACCUCUGUGUUGGCUCAAGAAGAAAAGAAUAGAUUUCAAUGGCAGCUAGUAUAGUAUUAUCUAGAAAUAUAAUUUGUAAAUUUUUUAAAAAUACAAUCCAAUAUUACACAUUGG